rnacentral:tRNA from 1 species
GGGGUUGUGGCUUAGUGGUAGAACACUUUCCUGGCAUGCUUGAGGCCCUGGGUUCAAUCCCCAGCAUCACCA